CAUAGCUCAACUGGUAGAGCAUUUGACUCUUAAUCAAAGGGUUCAGGGUUCGAGUCCCUGU
rnacentral:tRNA from 1 species